rnacentral:lncRNA from 1 species
AUAUAUGCAAGGCAAUAUUCAAGAACCAACACAUAAGGUUACCACAUAAUUCAUCCCUUUGAUCUCGAAUGUUCGAGGAUGACUUAGGGUUUAAUUGUCAACACUGGAUGAGUCAUCCACAUUGCAUUUCAACCUUUCACAUCCAUCAUAUAGAUUACACAGGCCUAGAUUUUACUAAAUUAAAAUAUAGUGAUGCAUUAACUCCUG